CAGACGCACAGCAGUGAGGAACACACUGGUUUGUCGAGACUUUCUUCAGCGUACACUUGUUAGCAUUACUACACACUCUACCAUGGCUCCCAAAAUGCUGCACUUCGUCACUGAUUUCUUCGUCUAUGAAACAGCCAAAUCAGUUGUGGUGAAGAACUGGACUGUUGGAAUCAUCAACCGCUUCGUCCAGCUGUUGAUUAUUCUGUAUUUUGUCUGUUGGGUGUUCAUGCAUGAAAAAGGACAUCAGCAACGGGACACUGGGAUUGAGUCUGCGGUCAUGACCAAAGUGAAGGGCUUGGGCUACUUCAAUAACCGCGUGAUGGACGUAGCAGACUAUGUAGCUCCAUCACAGGGUGCUUCAUCGUUCUCUGUCAUCACCAACAUGGUCAUCACAGCCAAUCAGACGCAAGGAUUGUGCCCUGAGACUGACGAGAAGUUUAAUUGCACAACUGAUCAUGACUGCAAUAAGAAUAACAGCUCAAAUAUAGGGAAUGGUAUUUUAACCGGCAAGUGCUUAAACAAUACUGGAACAAAUAGUACAGGAAUGUGUGAAAUUGAAGGCUGGUGCCCUGCAGAGGAUGACAAAGUUCCUGGAAAGCCAAUGAAAGAGGUGGAGAACUUCACAAUCUUCAUCAAAAACAGCAUUCGCUUCCCUCUGUUCAAUGUCACUAGGGGCAAUUUCCCUUCGGAUUUAGACCAGUCUUACAUUCAGACAUGUACAUAUGACCCAAAGGACCACCCGUUUUGUCCGAUCUUCAAAGUGGGACAUAUCCUGAAACAACUCAAUCAAAGUUUGGACCAGAUUGCUGAAAAGGGAGGAGAGAUUGGUAUUAUCAUCAACUGGAAGUGUAAUCUCGACUAUGAUGUGGAGAACUGCAAACCCAAUUACUUCUUCACACGCCUAGAUGCUGCUUUUGAACACAGCAAAGCAACUAAAGGAUAUAACUUCAGGUUUGCUAAAUACUAUCAAUCCGAAGAUGGGGCUGAGUAUCGAACGCUUCAUAAAGCUUUUGCCAUCCGUGUUGAAAUAAUAGUGUCUGGCAAUGCGGGAAAGUUUUCCACUGUGCCAUUUCUGAUUAAUUUGGUCGCAGCAUUCACUUCAGUGGGAUUGGCUACAGUGUUCUGUGACAUCAUCCUUCUCAACUUCCAUAAAGGGGCCGACGAGUACAAAGCAAAGAAAUUUGAAGAGGUGUCAGACAUUGUACAGGAGGAGUCAAAGACACCCUACCAGGGAAGCCAGGCGUCAAUCAAAGCUUUGGGGAAGAGCUCAAAUGAUUCCGGGACCUUUUCUAUUGGACGACAGGAGUGAGUCACUGCACGGCCCGAACAAACCCAUGAGACUUUCAAAUAAUACUAUUUAGAGGCUUGAAGGAGUUUGAGUUUCCAUGUUUGCUGGACACUUGUUGGCUGCUUUUUAUACAUUUUUGUGAUCAUUAAUACACACGUUUAUGCCACUGUAAAAUCUAACAUUGUUCUUACUAAGAAUUUUUUUUUGUUAACUUUACUUAAUGUCCAAUAAUUUGUUGAACUUACUUAAAAUUUUGAAGUAAUCUGUACUGUUUGCAUGCUAUGCCGUCGUUACUCAGAAAAACCUUGUAAACAUUACUUGACUGGUUUGAGUACUUCCUAAGAUCAGAGACAGAAUUAAGUUGACAAAACUUAGAUUAAGUAACAAAAACUUGAUGCAAUUAAGUUAUGCUUACUUAAUAAAAUUAAGGCAACGAGUUUGCAUAAUAAAA